rnacentral:tRNA from 1 species
CUCCCGGUAGUCUAGUUGGUUUAUGGCGUCUGACUGUAAUGGAUUGUAGCAAUCAGAAUGUCGCGUGUUCGAAUCACGCCUGGGAGA